UGUGUUUUGCAUCUCGGAUGCUACCUUCAUACAAACAAAGAUUAUCGCUGGCAUACAGGAUAACACGUGCGCCGUCGUUUGUUGUUUACAAGUGGACGAAACGAGAGCUGGUACUUUAAUCGCACUAUAACGAUUUUUGGAAGCAUUCACGAUGUAUUUAAUGUAUUAUCUUGACGGAAAUGGUGACAGAGUGUAUACUCUGAAGAAAGUCGAUCCGAAGGGCAGACCCACGGCAUCAGCUCAUCCUGCUCGAUUUUCACCAGAGGAUAAAUACUCCCGAGAGAGAAUAAUGACAAAGAGAAGAUUUUAUUUGCUUCCAACGCAACAGCCACAGUACGCCUGCUGAUAACGCAGUCGAGUGAGGUGAAAAGGAAUGCAAACAGUGGAACACUGGUUUAUUUUGUUCGUGUUUUUGUAGUGAAUUUGUAUAAUGUUUGUUAAUUGAACAUAACGUGCUAGUGAGAAAUUGCGAACAUAUUAAAGGACUCCAUGUAGUAGUUUCAUGCUAAAAUUAUAUCGUGCUCUAAUUGAAAUAAAUUGAUGUUAUAAGGAGUGUUCUUUUCCUUUUGACAGAAUUUUGUUAAAAUAAUGCAGCUAGAAUUUCAGCAGACACCUCUGUGACGAUGUUAGACAGUAUUAUGAUAUGAAAUACAAAAUGGUGGUGUAAGCAUUUUGAUUUAAAUGUUAAGAAUGUGUUAAAAUUGCUUAGCAUUUUGACAGUUGAACAUGGUUGACACUAUAAGAAGCGUUGUGUUUAAGUGCAUUUUGACUUAGAGCUUGUACUCAAAUAUCUAAUAAAGAGUGGUACAUAACAGAUA